UGGUUUGCCGAGCGGUCUAAGCGAUAGACUUUUACUCCAUGUACUCUAUAGGUCAGUGGUUCGAGCCCAUUUGAGGGUUAC
rnacentral:tRNA from 1 species